UGAGAGUAGUACAUCGAUGGGAGACCCCUUGGGAAGUCCUUGUGUUGCACCCAUUGGUGCGAUCAUACCAGCACUAAUGCACCGGAUCCCGUCAGAACU
rnacentral:rRNA from 1 species